rnacentral:rRNA from 1 species
UACGUAGGUGGCAAGCGUUGUCCGGAAUUAUUGGGCGUAAAGCGCGCGCAGGUGGUUUCUUAAGUCUGAUGUGAAAGCCCACGGCUCAACCGUGGAGGGUCAUUGGAAACUGGGGAACUUGAGUGCAGGAGAGAAGAGUGGAAUUCCACGUGUAGCGGUGAAAUUCGUAGAUAUCGGGAGGAACACCGGUGGCGAAGGCGGCGACCUGGGUAGAUACUGACGCUGAAGUUCGAAAGCGUGGGGAGCAAACAGG